UUUCAAGCUCAAGUUAUUAGGGUAUUAGUAGUUAUGGCCGUAUGUUGUACUUUGUCUUUUUCAAAUUAUGCUAAUUUGAAUUUUUGAGUAAUGAGUUGUGACUAUUUUGCAUUUAUUUUGUUUAGUGAGGACUAUUGCUAUUGACUAUCGGACUCAAGUGGGUGUACCGUGCUAAUAGCGAUGCCUAGGCCCAAGUACUCUCAAAUCCAUAUCUCCGCGCCUUUGAAUGUUGUGGUACGUAACUGUGGCUUUAAAUUUUGUAUAUUUAUCUUGGGCCUUAAUUAACCUGAACUUGAAGUUCCCCGGGUUCAAUUUCAAGCUCAAGUUAAUUAGGUAUUAUUAGACAAGGCCUUAUGUUUUAAAUACGCUUUGGCCCUUUGUCAAAAUUAGCUGAUUUGAGUUUUUUGUGUAAUAUGUAGUGACUGUUUUUGCAUUUGGUCUGUUUUGCGAGGACUUUGCUAUUGACUAUACCCGUAUUCAACUUCAAGUCGGUAUUUAGGUACUUGUUUUUGUUGUUAUUAUUUUAUGUUGUUUUUUUAUUUAUAGCAUGAUUUUAAUGUUUGAGUACGAGUGAGUGACUGCCUUUGCUUUUUUGUUUUGUCGAGGACUAAUACUGUUGACUAUCGGGUUUAAAUUUCAUCAGCUCAAGUGUAUUAGGGUAAUUAUUAGUUAUUUCCGUAUGCUUUACUUUGUCUUUUUCAAAUAUGCUAAUUUGAAUUUUUGAGUAAUGAUUUGGCUGACUAUUUUCAUUGAUUUUUUGUUUAGUGAGGACUAUUGCUAUUGACUAUCCGGACUCAAGUUGGUGUUACCGUGGUAAAGCGAUGCCUGGCCCAAUACUCUCAACCAUAUCCCACCCUUUGAAUGUUGUGGUCGUAACUGAUGGCUUAAAUUUGUUGUCAUUUAUUCUUGGGCCUUAAUUAACCCUAACGUGAAUUUCCCCGGUUCAAUUUCAAGCGUCAUGUUAAUUAGGAAUUAUUAGACAAGGCCCUUUAUUUAAACUUUGUCCUUUUUACAAGUUAUCUGAUUUGAGUUUUGUUGUGUAAUAUGUAUGACUGUUUUUGCUUUGUUUUCGUUUUCGAGGAACUAUUCUCUUGACUACCGGAUUCAACUUCAGCUCGAGUUAUUUUAGGUACUUUUUGUUAGUACUUUAUGUUGUUUUUUUAUCUACAAGCAUGAUUUUAAAAUGUUUUGAGUAACGAGUAGUGACAGCUUUUUGCAUUUUGUUUUGUUUUGGCGAGGACUAAUACUGUUGACUAUCGGUUGUUAAUUUCAAGCUCGAAGUUAUUAGGGUAUUAUUAGUUAUGGCCGUUAUGUUGACUUGUCUUUUUCAAAUAUGCUAAUUGAUUUUUGAGUAAUGAGUUUGACAUUUUGCAUUAUUUUUGUUUAGUGAGGACUAUUGCUAUGGACUAUCGGGGACUGGAAUCAAGUGGGUGUACGUACUAAAUAGCGAUGCCUAGGCCCAAGUUCUCAAAUCCAUAUCUCCGCGCCUUUGAAUGUUUGUGGUACGUAACUGUUGACUUUAAAUUUUGUAAUUACUUGGGCCGUAAGUUACACCUGAACUGGAAGUCCCGGGUUCAAUUUCAAGCUCAAGUUAAUAGUAUUAUUAGACAGGACUUUAUGUUGUACUUGUAUUUUAAAAUUAUGACUGAUUUGAGUUUUUGUCUGUAGUAAGAUGUAGUGAACGUUUUUGCAUUGUCGUUUGCGAGGACUAUGCCCUAUUGACUACCGGAUUCAACUUAAAGUGCGAGUUAUUUAGGUUAACUUUUUGUUAGUACUUUAUGUGUGUUUUUAUUUAGAGACAUGAUUUAUGUUUGAGUAACGAGUAGUGACUGCUUGCAUUUUUUUGUUUUGCGUGAGGACUAAUUCUGUUGAAUAGUCGGGGUUUAAUUCAAGUCAAGUUAUUAGGGAUUAGUAGUUAUGGCCGCAUGUGUACUUGUCUUUUUCAAAUUAUGCCUAAUUGAAUUUUUGAGAGUAAUAGUGUGACUGUAUUUUGCCUUAUUUUGUUUAGUGAGGACUAAUGCUAUUGACUAUCGGAUCAAGUGGGUUUGUACCGUGCUAAUAGCGAUGCCUAAGGCCCAAAGUACUCUCAAAUCCAUAUACUCCGCGCCUUUGAAUGUUGUGGGGAGUACGUAAUGUGCUUUAAAUUUUGUUAUAUUAUCUUUGGCCUUAAUAACCUUGAACUGGAAGUUCCCGGGUUAAUUCAAGCUCAAGUUAUUAGGUAUAUUAGACAGGCCUUAUGUUGUGUACUUGUCUUUUUAAAAUUAUGCUGAUUUGAGUUUUUGUGUAAUAUGUAGUGACUGUUUUGCAUUUGUUCUGUUUUGCGAGGACUAUUGCUAUUGACUACCGGAUUCAACUUCAAGCUCGAGUUAUUUAGGUACUUUUUGUUAGUACUUUAUGUUGUUUUUUAUUUAUAGCAUGAUUUUAAUGUUUGAGUAACGAGUAGUGACUGCUUUGCAUUUUUUUUGUUUUGCGAGGACUAAUACUGUUGACUAUCGGGUUUAAUUUCAAGCUCAAGUUAUUAGGGUAUUAGUAGUUAUGGCCGUAUGCUGUACUUUGUCUUUUCCAAUAGCUAUUUGAAUUUUUGAGUAAUGAGUUGUGACUAUUUUGCAUUAUUUUGUUUUAGUGAGGACUAUUGCCUAUUGAUAUCGACUCAAGUGGGUGUACCGUGGUAAUAGCGCUGCCUAGGACCAAGUACUCUCAAACCAUAUCUCCACGCCUUAAUGUUGUGGUACUUAACUGUGGCUUUAAAUUUUGCUAUAUUUAUCUUGGGCCUUAAUUAACCUGAAACUUGAAGUCCACGGGUUCAAUUCAAGCUCAUUUAAUUAGGUAUAGUGACACGGGCCUUAUUAUUAAAAUUUGUCUUUAAAAUUAUGCUGAUUUGAGAUUUGGUUAAUAUGUAGUGACUGUUUUGCAUUUGUUCUGUUUUGCGAGGACUAUUGCUAUUGACUACCGGAUUCAACUUCAAGCUCGAGCUAUUUAGGUACUUUUUGUUAGUACUUUAUGUUGUUUUUUAUUUAUAGCAUGAUUUUAAUGUUUGAGUAACGUGUAGUGACUGCUUUGCAUUUUUUGUUUUGUUUUGCGAGGACUAAUACUGUUGACUAUCGGGUUUAAUUUCAAGCUCAAGUUAUUAGGGUAUUAGUAGUUAUGGCCGUAUGUGUACUUUGUCUUUUUCAAAUUACAGCUAUGUUGAAUUUGUGAGUACUGAGUUGCUGACUAUUUGCAUUGAUUUUGUUAUUUGAGGACUAUUGCUAUGACUAUCGGACCUCAAGUGGGUGUGUACCGUGCUAAUAGCGAUGCCUAGGCCAAAGUACUUCUCAAACCCAUAUCUCAAAGGCAUUUGAAUGUUGUUUUUACGAAACUGUGGCUUAAUUUUGUAUAUUUAUCUUGGGCCUUAAUUAACCUGAACUUGAAGUUUCCCGGGUUCAAUUUCAAGCUCAAGUUAAUUAGGAAUUAUUAGACAAGGCCUUAUGUUAAACUUUGUCUUUUUAAAAUUAUGCUGAUUUGAGUUUUUGUGUAAGAUGUAGUGACUGUUUUGCAUUUGUUCUGUUUUACGAGGACUAUUGCUAUUGACUACCGGAUUCAACUUAAAGUUCGAGUUAUUUAGGUACUUUUUGUUAGACUUGAUGUUGGUUUUAUUUACAGAAUGAUUUUAAUGUUGAGUAACGAGUAGUGAUGUUGCAUUUUUUUUUUUUGUUUUGCGAGGACUAGUUCUGUUGACUAUCGGGUUUAAUUCAAGCUCAAGUUUUAGGGUAUUAGUAGUUAUGGCCGUAUUAGGUUGUACUUUGUCCUUUUUCAAAUUACGCUAAUUUGGGAAUUUUGAGUAUGAGUUGUGACUAUUUUGCAGUUAUUUUGUUAGUGAGGACUAUUGCUAUGAACUAUCGGACUCAAGGGUGCUUGUACCGUGCUAAUAGCGAUGCCUGGGCCCAAGUAUUCGCAAAUCAAUAUUCUCCGCGCCUUUGAAUGUUUGUGGACGUAAAUGUUGCUUUAAAUUUUGGAUAUUUAUCUGGUCCUAAUUAACCUGAACUUGAAGUUCCCGGGUUGUUCAAUUUCAAGCUCAAGUUAUUAGGUAUUAUUAGACAGGCCUUAUGUUGUACUUUGUCGGUUUUAAAAAUUAUGCUGAUUUGAGUUUUUGUGUAAUAUGUAUGUGUGACGGGUUUGAUUUUGUCUGUUUUGCGAGACUAUGCUAGACUACCGGAUUCAACUAAAGCUCGCGAUUUAGGUACUUUUUGUUAGUACUUUAUGUGUUUUUUAUUUAUUGCAAUGAUUUUAAUGUUUGAGUAACGAGUUAGUAGUGACUGCGUUUGCAUUUUUUUUGUUUUGCGGAGGAGGACUUAAUAAUGUUGACUAUCGGGUUUAAUUUCAAGCCUCAAGUUAUUAGGGUAUAGUAGUUAUGGUCCGUAUUGCUGUACUUGUCUUUUUAAAAUUAUGGCUAAUUUGAAUUUUGAGUAAUAGUAAUGAGUUGUGGACGAUUUUGCAUUAUUUUGUUUAGUGAGGACUAUUGCUAUUGACUAUCGGACUCUCAAGUCGGGGUGUACCGUGGUAAUAGCGAUGCCUAGCCCAAGUACUCUCAAACAUAUCUCCACGCCUUUGAAUGUUGUCGGUACUUAACUGUGGCUUAAAUUUUGUAUAUUUAUCUUGGUAGCUUAAUUAACUGAACUUGAAGUUCCCGGGUUCACUUUCAAGAUCAUGUAAUUGAGGUAUUAUUAGACAAGGCCUAUAUAAACUUUGUCUUUUUAAAAUUAUGCUUGAUUUGAGUGUUUGGGUAAUAGCGUGACGUUUUGCAUUUGUUCUGUUUUGGCGGACUAUUGCACUAUUGACUACCGGAUUCAACUUCAAGCUCGAGCUAUUAGGUACUUUUUGUUAGUACUUAGUGAUUUUUAUUUAUAGAAUUGAUUUUAAUGUUUGAGUAACGAGUAGUGAUUGACUUUGCAUUUUUUUUGUUUUGCGAGCGGACUAAUUCUUGUUGACUAUCGGGUUUUUAAUUUCAAGCUCAAGUUAUUAGGGUUAUUAGUGUUAUGGCCGUAUGUUGUACUUUUGUCGUUUUCCAAUUAUGCUAAUUUGAAUUUUAAAGUAAUGAGUUUGUGACUCUUUUGCAUUUUUUUUGCUUAGUGAGGACUAUUGCUAGUGACUACGACUCCAGCAGUGGGUGUCCGUGCUAAUAGCGAUGCCUAGGCCCAAGUAACUCUCAAAUCCUAUCUCCACGCCUUUCAUUGUUGUGUGUACCAAACUGUGGCUUUAAAAAAUUUGUAUAUUUAUCUUGGGCCUUAAUUAACCUGAACUUGAAGUUUCCCGGGGUUCAAUUUCCAGCUCAAGUUAAUUAGGAAUUAUUAGACAAGGCCUUAUGUUGUCCUUUGUCUUUUUAAAUUACGCUGAUGUUUGUAGUUCUUUUUUCUGUGCCUUCUAAUCUGGACUUUAGUGUCAUCCCUCCUUGUGUUUGCUUGCAUUUGUUUCUUUUGUUUUGCAGGACUAUUGCUACUUCCCUUUAGAUCUUGCUUACCUUUCCCUAGCGUGCCUUUGCCAUCUUUAUGACCUUUUUCGUUCUCGCUAACCGUAUUUUUCCUUCUCAACUUCUAUACGGCAUCUCUCCUCCUUUUACCUUUCCUCCGAUGUUUUUUUUAGCGUACCCUUCCUCUUUUUUGUUCGGUACGCACCACUGACACUUCUUCUCUCGUGUGUGUUUAUUUCUUUUCGCUUUUUCGUUUUAUUACCUGUCGCUAGAUUUUUUGUUUGAGUACGAGUAGUGACUGCUUUGAGUGACUGACUGCUUUGCAUUUUUUUUUGUUUUGCGAGGCCUAAUCUGUUGACUAUCGGGUUUUAAUUUUCAAGCUCAGUUAUUAGGGUUUAGUAGUUAGGCCGCAUGUUGUACUUUGUCUUUUUCCAAAUUAUGCUAAUUUGAAUUUUUUGAUUAAUGAGUUGCGACUAUUUUUGCAUUUAUUUUGUUUGGGGGGGGGGUGAGGACUAUUGCUAUUGACUAUCGGGGACUGAGUGGGUUUACCGUGCUAAUAGCGAUGCCUAUGCCCAGUACUCUCAAAUCCAUAUUCUCCGCUCCUUUGAAUGUUGUGGUACUUAACUGUGGCGUUAAAUUUUGUCUAUUUAUCUUAGAGGCCUUAUUUAACCUUAACUUGAAGUUCCCCGGGUUUCAAUUUCAAGCUCAAGUUAAUUAGGUAUUAUUAGACAGGCCUUAUGUUGUCUUUUGUCGUUUUAAAUUAUGCUGAUUUUGAGUUUUUUGUGUAAUAUGUAUGACUGACUGUUUUGCAUUUGUUCUGUUUUGCGAGGACUAUUGCUUUGACUACCGCGGAUUCAACUGCAAGCUCGAGUUAUUUAUGUGUUAUUUUUUGUUAGUACUUUAUGUUUGUUUUUUAUUUUAAGCAUAUUUUAAUUAUGAAUACGGUAGUGACUGCUUUGCAUUUUUUUUGUUUUGCGAGGACUAAUACUGUUGACUAUCGGGUUUAAUUUCAAGCUCAAGUUAUUAGGGUAUUAGUAGUUAUGGCCGUAUGCUGUACUUUGUCUUUUUCAAAUUAUGCUAAUUUGAAUUUUUGAGUAAUGAGUUGUGACUAUUUUGCAUUUAUUUUGUUUAGUGAGGACUAUUGCUAUUGACUAUCGGACUCAAGUGGGUGUACCGUGGUAAUAGCGAUGCCUAGGCCCAAGUACUCUCAAAUCCAUAAUCCCACCUUUGAAUUUUGUGGUAACGUACUGUGGCCUUUAAAUUUUGUAUCUUUAUCAUCUUGGGCCUUAAUUAACCUGAACUUGAGUUCCCCGGGUUCAAUUUUCAAGCUCCAUGUUAAUUAGGUAUUAUUAUACAAGGCCUUAUAUUAAACUUUGUCUUUUAAAUUAGCUGAUUUGAGUUUUGUGUGUAUUGUAGUGACAGUUUGCAUUUGUUCUUUUUUGCGAGGACAAUUGCUCUUGACUACCGAUCAACUUCAACUCGAGUUAAUUUAGGAGGUACUUUUUGUUUAGUACUUUAUGGUGUUUUUUAUCUAACAGCAUGAUUUUAUGUUUGAGUAACGAGUUAGUUACAGCUUUGCUUUUUUUUUGUUUGCGAGGACUAAUACGGUUGACUAUCGGGUUUAUUGCAAGCUCCAGUUAUUAGGGUAUAGUAGUUGUGGCCGUAUGUUGUACUUUAUCUUUCAAAUUAUGGCUAAUUUGAAUUUUUUUGAGUAAUGAGUUGUGACUUUUUUUGCAUUUAUUUUGUUUAGUGAGGACUAUUGCUGUUGACUCUCGGACUCAAGUUUCAAGCUACGAGUUCUUUAGAGUACUUUUUCCCUUAGUACUUUAUUGUUAACAUUUUAUUUAUAACAUGAUUUUAAUGUUUGAGUAACGAUUUGUGGACUGCUUUGCAUUUUUUUGUUUUGGCGAGAGUAAUACUGUUGACUAGCGGGUUUAAUUUCAAUCUCAAGUUUUAGUGUAUUAGUAGUAUGGCAGUAUUUGUACUUUGUCUUUUCAUUAUGCUAAUUUGAAUUUUUUUUGAUUAAUGAUUUUGUGACUAUUUUGCAUUUAUUUUGUUUAGUGAUGCUAUUGGCUAUUGACUAUCGGACUCAAGUGGUGGUACCGUGCUAUAUCGAUGCUAGGCCCAAGUAUCUCUCAAUCCUAUCUCCGCUCCUUUGAAUUUGUGGUACUAACUGUUGCUUUAAAUUUUUGUUAUUUAUCUUGGUGCCUUAAUUAACCUGAACUUUGAAGUUCCCCCCUCCCCCCCGGGUUCAAUUUCAAGCUCAUUUAAUUAGGUAUUAUUAACAAGCCUUAUGUUUUUACUUGUCUUUUAAAAUUAUGCGGAUUUGAGUUUUUGUGUAAUAUGUUAGUACUUUUUGCAUUUGUUCCUUGUUUUGGCGAGGAUAUUGCUUUGACUACCCUACCCGGAUUCACUUCACAAAGCUCCUAUUGUAUUUAUGUACUGUUUGUUAGUACUGAGAAUGGGGGGGGGGGAGGGGGGGUGGGGGGGGGGGGGUAGUCAAGAACAGAAAAUGGGGGGUGCUGUCGAUCUUUUUUUUUUUCUGGUUCUCAACAGGAAAAAAGUCAUGAUUUUAAUGUUGGAAGUAACUAGUAGUGACUGCUUAUGCAUUUUUUUUGUUUUUGCGAGGACUAUACUUGACUAUCGGGUUUUAUUUUUUAUUUCAGCUCAAUUUAGGGUAUUAGUAUUAAAUGCCGUAUGCUGUACUUUUGUCUUUUCAAUUAUGCUAAUUUGAUUCUUGAGUAUGAGUUUUGUGCUAGUUUUGCAUUUAGUUUGUUUUCGUGAGGACUAUUUCUAUUGACUAUCGGACUCAAGUGGGUGUAACCGUGCGAUAGCCUAUGCCUAGGCCCAAUUAACUCCCCCCUCAAUCCAUAUCUCUUCGCCUUUGAAUGUUUUGGUCGUAACGUGGCUUUUAAUUUUGUAUUUUAUCUUGGGCCUUAAAUUAACUGACCUUGAAGUUCCCCGGGUUCAAAUUUCAAGCUCAAUUUAUUAGUAUUAUUAGACAAGGCCUUAUGUUGUACUUUGUCCUUUUUAAAAUUAUGGCUGAUUUGAGUUUUUUGUGUAAUAUGUAGUGACUGUUUUGCAUUUUUUCUGUUUUGCGAGGACUAUGCUAUUUGACUAUCGGAUUCCACCUUCAAAAGCUCCGAGUUCUUUAGGUACUUUUUUGUUAGUACUUUUAUGUGUUGUUUAUUUAUCUCAUGUUUUCAUGUUUUGCUUCCCUCGUAGUGACUUUCUUGCAUUUUUUUGUUUUGCGAGGACUAAUACUGUUGACUUCGGGUUAAUUUCAAGCUCAAGGUUAUUUAAGUUAUUAGUGUUCUUGGCCGUAUGUUGUACUUUGGUCAUUUUCAAUUAUGCUAAUUUGAAUUUUUGAGAAUGAGUUGUUACUAUUUUGCAUUUAUUUUGUUUAGUGAGGACUAUUGCUAUUGACUAUCGGACUCAAGUGGGUGUACCGUGCUAAUAGCGAUGCCUAGGCCCAAGUACUCUCAAAUCCAUAUCUCCGCGCCUUUGAAUGUUGUGGUACGUAACUGUGGCUUUAAAUUUUGUAUAUUUAUCUUGGGCCUUAAUUAACCUGAACUUGAAGUUCCCCGGGUUCAAUUUCAAGCUCAUGUUAAUUAGGUAUUAUUAGACAAGGCCUUAUAUUAAACUUUGUCUUUUUAAAAAUUAUGCGAUUGAGUUUGUGUAAUAGUAUAUUGACUGUUUUACAUUCUUCUGUUUUGCGAGGACUAUUAGCUCUUGACUACCUACCCCGAAUCACUUCAAGCUCGAGUUAAUUUAAGUUAGCUUUUUGUUAGUACUUAUGUUGUUUUUUUAUCUACGCAUGAUUUUAAUGUUUGAGUAACGAGUAGUGCACUUGCAUUUUUUUUUUUUUGUUUUGCGAGGACUAAUACUUUUUGACUAUCGGGUUUAAUUCAAGCUCAAGUUCUUAGGGUAUUAGUAGUUAAUGGCCGUAUUUGUACUUUACUUUUUCAAAUUAAUGCUAAUUGAAUUUUUGAGUAAAUGAGUUGUGACUAUUUGCAUUUAUUUUGUUUAUGAGGACUAUUCCUAUUGGACUAUCUGACUUCAAUUCAAGCUCUAGUUAUUUAUGUACUUUUUUCUUAGUACUUUAUGUUGUUUUUUUAUUUAUAAGCAUGAUUUUAAUGUUUGAGUAACGAGUUUGGACUGCUUUGGCAUUUUUUUGUUUUGGAGAGUCAUACUGUUUCCUAUCGCGUUUAAUUUUCCAGCUCAAGUAUUAGGGUAUUAGUAGUUAUGGCCGUAUGUUGUACUUGUCUUUUUUCAAAUUAGCUAAUUGGAAUUUUUUGAGUAAUGAUUGUGACUAUUUUUGCAUUUAUUUUGUUUAGUGAGGACUAUUGCCUAUGACUAUCGACUCAAGUGGGUGUACCGUGCUAAAUAGCGUGCCUAGGGCCCAAGUACUCUCAAUCCAUAUCUCCCGCCUUUGAAUGUUGUGGUAACUACUGUGGCUUUAUUUUGUAUAUUUAUCUUGGCCUUAAUACCUGACUUAAGUUCCCGCGUUUCAAUUUCAAUCGUCAUGUUAUUGGUUUAUUAUAGAUCAGGCCUUAUGGUUGUACUUUGUCUUUUUAAAAUUAUGCUGAUGUGAGUUUUUGUGAUAAUAUGUAUGACUUGUGUGCAUGUUCUGUUUUGGCGAGACUAUUGCUAUUUGACUACCGGAUUCAACUUCAAGCUGAGUAUUUAUGUACUUUUUGUUAGUACUUUAUGUUUGUUUUUUUUAUAGCAUGAUUUUAAUGUUUGAGUAACGAGUAGUGACUGCUUUGCAUUUUUUUUGUUUUGCGAGGACUAAUCGUUGACAUAUCGGGUUUAAUUUCAAAUCUCAAGUUAUUGGGUAUUAGUAGUUAUGGCCGUAUGUUGUACUUUGUCUUUUUCAAAUUAUGCUAAUUUGAAUUUUUGAGUAAUGAGUUGUGACUAUUUUGCAUUUAUUUUGUUUAGUGAGGACUAUUGCUAUUGACUAUCCGGACUCAAGUGGGUGUACGUUCUAAUAAAAUAUCGAUGCCUAGCCCAAGUACUCUCAAAUCCAUAGCUCCGCGCCUUUGAUGUUGUGGUACGUAACUGUGAGCUUUAAUUUAUGUAUAUUUAUCUUGGGCCUUAAUUAAACCUGAACCUUGAAGUUCCCCCCGGGUUCAAUUUCAACUCAAGUUAUUAGUAUUAUUAGCAAGGCCUUAUGUUGUACUUUGUCUUUUUAAAAUUAUGCUGAUUUGAGUUUUGUUAAUAUGUGUGACUUUUUUGCAUUUGUUUCUGUUUUGCGAGACAUGGCUAUUGACUACCGGAUUCAACUUAAAGUUCGAGUUUAUUUGUCAUUUUUGUUAGUACUUUAUGUUGUUUUUUAUUAUAGCAUAUUUUAAUGUUUGAAAGUAACGAGUAGUUACUGCUUUGGUCAUUUUUUUUUGUUUUUGGCGAGGACUAAUACUGUCUGACUAAUCGGGUUUAAUUUCAAGGCUCAAGUUAUUAGGGUAUUAGUAGUUAGGCCGUAUGUUGUACUUUGUCCUUUCAAAUUAUGCUAAUUUGAAUUUUUGUGUAAUGAGUUGUGCGAUUUUUUGCAUUUUAUUUUGUUUAGUGAGACUAUUCUAUUGACUACGGACGCAAGUGGGUGACCUGCUAAUAGCGAUUCCUAGGCCCAAGUACGCAUCAAAUCCAUAUCCUCCGCGCCUUUGAAUGUUGUGGUCACGUAACUGUGGCUUUUAAAUUUUGUAUAUUUAAUCUUGGGCCCUAUUAACCUGAACUUGAAGGUUCCCCGGUUCAAUUUCAAGCUCAAGUUAAUUAGGUAUUAUUAGACAAGGCCUUAUGUUUUACUUUGUCUUUUUAAAAUUAUGCUGAUUUGAGUUUUGUGUAAUAUGUAGUGACUGUUUUGCAUUUGUUCUGUUUUGCGAGGACUAUUGGCUAUUGACUACCCGCUCUACCGGAUUCAACUUCAAGCUCGAGUAAUUAGGUACUUUUGUUAGUAUUUUAUGUUGUUUUUUAGUUUAUAGCAGGAUUUUAAUUGUUUUGGUAACGAGUAGUACUGCGUUGGCAUUUUUUUUUGUUUGCGAGGACUAAUAUACUGUUGACUAAUCGGGUUUAAUUUAAAGCUCAAGUUAAUUAGGGGUAUUAGUCAGUUAUGGUCCGUAUGCUGUACUUUGUCUUUUUCAAAUUAUGCUCAUUUGAAUUUUUGAUUAUGAGUUGGGACUAUUUUGGCAUUUAUUUUGUUUAGUGAGGACUAGUGCUAUUGACUAUCGACUCAAGUGGGUGUACCCGUGGUACUGCUAUUCCUAGGCCCAGUCACUCUCAAAUCCAUAUCUCCACGCUUUUGAAUGUGUGGUACGAUAACUGUGGCUUUAAAAUUUUGUAUAUUUAUCUUGGCCUUAAUUCACCUAACUUGAAGUUCCCCCGGUUCAAUUUCCAAGCUCAUGUUAAUUAGGUAUUAUUAGACAGGCCUUAUAUUAAUACUUUGUCUUUUAAAAUAUGCCUGAUUUGAGUUUUUGGUGUACUAUGUGUGACUGUUUUGCAUUUUGUUCUGUUUGCGAGGACUAUUGCUCUUUGACUAACCCGUAUUCAAACUUCAAGCUCGAGUUAUUUGGUACUUUUUUGUUAGUACUUUAAUGUUGUUUUUUAUCUACAGCAUGUUUAAUGUUUGAGUAACGAGUAGUGACAGCUUUGCAUUUUUUUUUGUUGUUUUGCGAGUCUAUCUGUUUACUUCGGGUUUUAAUUUCAAGCUCAAGUUAUUAGGGUAUUAGUAGUUAUGGCCGUAUGUUGUACUUUGUCUUUUUCAAAUUAUGCUAAUUUGAAUUUUUGAGUAAUGAGUUGUGACUAUUUUGCAUUUAUUUUGUUUAGUGAGGACUAUUGCUAUUGACUAUCGGACUCAAGUGGGUGUACCGUGG
rnacentral:lncRNA from 1 species